UACAGAGGUCUCGAGCGUUGUUCGGAUUCAUUGGGCGUAAAGGGCGCGUAGGCGGGAUGGCAAGUCGGUCGUGAAAUCCUUCGGCUCAACCGAAGAACGUCGAUCGAUACUGCUGUUCUUGAGGGUUGCAGAGGAGACUGGAAUUCCCGGUGUAGCGGUGAAAUGUGUAGAGAUCGGGAGGAACACCGGUGGCGAAGGCGGGUCUCUGGGCAAUUCCUGACGCUGAGGCGCGAAAGCGUGGGGAGCAAACGGG
rnacentral:rRNA from 1 species